rnacentral:rRNA from 1 species
UACAUGGGGUGCAAACGUUGCUCGGAAUUAUUGGGCGUAAAGCGCACGUAGGUGGUCUGUUAUGUCAGAUGUGAAAGCCCUCGGCUUAACUGAGGAAGUGCACCUGAAACUGGCAGGCUUGAGUACGAAAGAGGGUCGCGGAAUUCCUGGUGUAGCGGUGAAAUGCGCAGAUAUCAGGAAGAAUAUCCGUGGCGAAGGCGGCUCUCUGGUACGGCACUGACGCUGAGACGCGAAAGCGUGGGGAGCGAACAGG